rnacentral:rRNA from 1 species
GACGAACGCUGGCGGCGUGCUUAACACAUGCAAGUCGAACGGAAAGGCCCUGCUUUUGUGGGGUGCUCGAGUGGCGAACGGGUGAGUAACACGUGAGUAACCUGCCCUUGACUUUGGGAUAACUUCAGGAAACUGGGGCUAAUACCGGAUAGGAGCUCCUGCUGCAUGGUGGGGAUUGGAAAGUUUCGGCGGUUGGGGCUGGACUCGCGGCUUAUCAGCUUGUUGGUGGGGUAGUGGCUUACCAGGGCUUUGACGGGUAGCCGGCCUGAGAGGGUGACCGGCCACAUUGGGACUGAGAUACGGCCCAGACUGCUACGGGAGGCAGCAGUGGGGAAUAUUGCACAAUGGGCGGAAGCCUGAUGCAGCAACGCCGCGUGCGGGAUGACGGCCUUCGGGUUGUAAACCGCUUUCGCCUGUGACGAAGCGUGAGUGACGGUAAUGGGUAAAGAAGCACCGGCUAACUACGUG